rnacentral:rRNA from 1 species
GGCGGACGGGUGAGUAACACGUGGGUAACCUACCUAUAAGACUGGGAUAACUUCGGGAAACCGGAGCUAAUACCGGAUAAUAUUUAGCUUCGCAUGAAGCAAUAGUGAAAGACGGUUCUGCUGUCACUUAUAGAUGGACCCGCGGUGUAUUAGCUAGUUGGUGAGGUAACGGCUCACCAAGGCAACGAUACAUAGCCGACCUGAGAGGGUGAUCGGCCACACUGGGACUGAGACACGGCCCAGACUCCUACGGGAGGCAGCAGUAGGGAAUCUUCCGCAAUGGACGAAAGUCUGACGGAGCAACGCCGCGUGAGUGAAGAAGGUUUUCGGAUCGUAAAACUCUGUUGUAAGGGAAGAACAAGUACGUUAGUAACUGAACGUACCUUGACGGUACCUUACCAGAAAGCCACGGCUAACUACGUGCCAGCAGCCGCGGUAAUACGUAGGUGGCAAGCGUUAUCCGGAAUUAUUGGGCGUAAAGCGCGCGUAGGCGGUCUCUUAAGUCUGAUGUGAAAGCCCCCGGCUCAACCGGGGAGGGUCAUUGGAAACUGGGAGACUUGAGUGCAGAAGAGGAGAGUGGAAUUCCAUGUGUAGCGGUGAAAUGCGCAGAGAUAUGGAGGAACACCAGUGGCGAAGGCGGCUCUCUGGUCUGUAACUGACGCUGAGGUGCGAAAGCGUGGGGAUCAAACAGGAUUAGAUACCCUGGUAGUCCACGCCGUAAACGAUGAGUGCUAAGUGUUGGGGGGUUUCCGCCCCUCAGUGCUGCAGCUAACGCAUUAAGCACUCCGCCUGGGGAGUACGGUCGCAAGACUGAAACUCAAAGGAAUUGACGGGGACCCG